UACGUAGGGUCCGAGCGUUGUCCGGAAUUAUUGGGCGUAAAGAGCUCGUAGGCGGUGUGUCGCGUCGGCCGUGAAAACCUGCAGCUUAACUGUGGGCUUGCGGUCGAUACGGGCAUCACUGGAGUUCGGCAGGGGAGACUGGAAUUCCUGGUGUAGCGGUGAAAUGCGCAGAUAUCAGGAGGAACACCGGUGGCGAAGGCGGGUCUCGUGGGCCGAUACUGACGUGGAGGAGCGAAAGCGUGGGGGAGCGAACAGG
rnacentral:rRNA from 1 species